UCUACUGUUAACAGGACUUAUACUAUCAACUAGGAAAUCCACUAUCAACUCCGGGAUCUAAGUCCACCUUUCCUGUCUUGCCUCUAAGCCUUUCACUAAUGCUUUUGCUUCUAACUACCCUGUCGAUCAGUCCAUCCUUACUUGCUUGACUUGCUUUUAAACAGAGACUUAUUAUAUAGUUAGUCUGCCCUUACGUGAUGAAAUUCAAAUCUUAUAGCCCUAACUCCUACUGAUAAGAAGAAAGUACAUACUACCGGGCAUCCACAUCUGUAUUGACACUGAAACUCCUAUCUAUACAUCAGUACGCCUCUACUGCCUUUCAUUCAUUUAUUGGUAAAACGGAAUCUCAUCUCUUGGCCCUUUUCACCGUUAGGUUUCUCAUAUCUCUCUUCGCCCCUUCGAUCCUGCCUUGCCCGUUCAUAUCACUCUGACUAUUAGAACUUUCUCUCGUUCUUUGGCUUACGUAUCAGACUGACGGAACUACCUUUAUAUGAUAAUAAUGUGAAUUCGACUAACGCUAACAACCCUUUUACUUGGAACUGGGCAUGAAACCAAUAAGUAAGAGACUUCAACAAAUAAGUAAGAUACAUCGGAGUGGGAGCUCACACUUAUCCUUGUCCCAGGAAUCCCAGCUACUUACCUAUAACUAUAAGAAGAAAAACAACCCCAAAACAGAAAUAAACCAAGAAGUAUGGGCCUUACUCAUCUAGGCACAUGCCAAGCCUUACGACCUGCACCAGCUUAAGGGCCUUACUCUGAAGUUGAUUCCCUAGGCUAGCGCCAAACUGACACACCUGUUCCUGCACUACAUUCCCGGUUCGAUUCUUGCUAUUGGUAGCUCAAUCCCCUAUUGUUUCGAUCUUUUGUUGUGAUGUGAUGACCGUAUCAGUGUCUACAGACUGAAGUGCAAGAGGUGAGUAUGAUUGAUAGCUGAGUAGUCCCAUUAGAAUAUAAUAAGCGUUGUGCCCUUAAGUAAUUG
rnacentral:lncRNA from 1 species